ACUCAAAUGAAUAGACGGGGGCUCACACAAGCGGUGGAGCAUGUUGCUUAAUUCGAAGCAACGCGAAGAACCUUAUCCUGGGCUUGACAUGCACGGAUUAGUUUCAUGAAAGUGGAAUGACACCCGCAAGGGUGGAACGUGCACAGGUGCUGCAUGGCUGUCGUCAGCUCGUGCUGUGAAGUGUCGGGUUAAGUCCCUCAACGAGCGCAACCCCUGUUGCUAGUUGCCAGCGCGUCAUGGCGGGAACUCUAGCGAGACUGCCGGUGUCAAACCGGAGGAAGGUGGGGAUGACGUCAAGUCCUCAUGGCCUUUAUGCCCAGGGCUGCAAACGUGCUACAAUGGCGUGAACAAAGCGACGCGAGGCCGCGAGGCGGAGCAAAUCGCAGAAAACACGCCCCAGUUCGGAUUGCAGGCUGCAAUUCGCCUGCAUGAAGCCGGAAUCGCUAGUAAUCGCGGAUCAGCCACGCCGCGGUGAAUGUGUUCCUGAGCCUUGUACACACCGCCCGU
rnacentral:rRNA from 1 species